ACACAUACACACACAAACACAUACACACACACACACCAUCCGGGUAUGGCUCUGUCAAGCAAAUGACAAGGGGAAAGGAGUUACAGGGAUGCCCGGCAGAAGUUCCGUUCUGUUCUGGUUGAGGCGACGGUGAAACUGGAGGAGCUGGUGAAGAAAAUUGGCAAAGCUGUGGAAGACUCAAAGCCUUACUGGGAGGCACGGAGGGUGGCAAGGCAGUGAAAUUCCACGAGGAACCCCAUUUGGUCUGUCGCGUGUUUACCCUGCCAGCAUACGGAAGGUUUCCAGAUCCUGAGCAAACGAGUAAAUGGACAAACAGGUGAAUAAAGUGCUGAGGAGCCACUGAGGGAUCAGAGCCUCACCCCUUGCCUCUCUUGAUGUGCUCCUCCUCUCCGUGGCCCUUUGCCCCCGGCUUCUUCACUGCUGGGCAGUUUGGCAAGCAGGGAGGAAAUCCAGCUUUGUCUGGGCUGGGUUCAUCCAAAUCUCACUUGGUGUUGACCAUGGCGCAUCCUGGAGUAGAUUCCAUACCACUCCUUGACUGUACGCCAGAUUGUCGUUGGGAAAAGUGACGGGAGGAACUGCGUUUGGGAGGCGCCCAGUCUGCUGGGAAGCAGAGGAGUCUGACCUCUCUCCGUCCUCGCAUGCCUGCUCUUGGCCGGCAAGAACAGUCAUCACGACAGCCCCUGAGUCCCUCAGGGAAGCCUCUCAGUCAUCGGGUCUAAUGAGAUACUGCCCAGGUCCGGGGGCUGACUGACUCACUUCAGGAUGGAUGCGGAGGGAGCUGUGCCAGCUCUGUGCUUGCUGAUCCUCCCCAUAACCUCCUCCCUGCUUGCAGGUGGGGAAGGAGAGUGCAGAAUGGCUAAAGUCACCCCUUGUCCUCAGCCCCAAGGGACUCUGUUGGCCUCUAGUCGAGGAACUGGAAGGAUGCUCAAAGGCUGAGGCUGACACGGAUGUCGUGCUUCGUCUCUGUGGAUGGCGGGUCACCUGGACUUGGACCGGAUUCUGUGACUGUUCCUCUGACCUUCCUGGUGGAGAAGUGGGUGGCGUCCGCCUCCAGCUGUGCCAAGCAGGGCUUCCUGUUUUCUGCCCCUGGCCUUCUCCCCACCCCCUUCCUUUUUUUGUACUUGCAGACCCAUCUGAGUAUCCACCGCAAGGGCGACUGUCUGAGAGAUUCCCUCAGAGCAGCUCCUCCAAGCGUGUGUCAUGAGCCUCAGCGUGCUUGUGAGACAUUCAGAGUCAAGGGACCGGCGAGGCGCUUGGGACUGAUGUGACAGUGUGUCUGACAGUGAACUCCUUACAUGAGCUUGGGCUUCAGCUUCGUUUAAAAAAAAUUAGGGUUUACUGGGGAAAUUUUAGAAAAGAAAAAGAAGUUCUGCGUGCUGGUGUACCCCCUACUCUCUUUUAAGUCAGCGAUUGUAUUGUAGUAACGGUUUUAUAUGUCUGGAAUGCCCGUGUCGUCCGGUCAUUCAUCCGACCAGUUUGUCUGCCUGACAUCAGCAGGUACUUAUACAGAGGAAAGCCUUCCCCGUUCCUGGAUUUUCUGUAAAGAGUUUAUAAAGUUCUCAGGUCAGGAGAAAUUGUUAUGUGUCCAUCAGAGUGUAUACUGACUUCGUUGUUCUCGAUGUCAAUUCAUUUUCCUAUCUGCGAGUCUUAAUCGAAUCCUGUGAUCUUGAAAAUAAAUGCGAAUCUGCUGAGC